rnacentral:rRNA from 1 species
UACGGGGGGGGCAAGCGUUGUUCGGAAUUACUGGACGUAAAGGGCUCGUAGGCGGCCAACUAAGUCAGACGUGAAAUCCCUCGGCUUAACCGGGGAACUGCAUCUGAUACUGGAUGGCUUGAGUUUGGGAGAGGGAUGCGGAAUUCCAGGUGUAGCGGUGAAAUGCGUAGAUAUCUGGAGGAACACCGGUGGCGAAGGCGGCAUCCUGGACCAACACUGACGCUGAUGAGCGAAAGCCAGGGGAGCAAACGGG